ACAGGGAUUGCCCUAGUAACGGCGAGUGAAGCGGCAACAGCUCAAAUUUGAAAGCUGGCUUAGGCCCGCAUUGUAAUUUGCAGAGGAUGCUUCUGGCGAGGUGCCUUCCGAGUUCCCUGGAACGGGACGCCAUAGAGGGUGAGAGCCCCGUAUGGAUGGACACCAGACCUGUGUGAAGCUCCUUCAACGAGUCGAGUAGUUUGGGAAUGCUGCUCUAAAUGGGAGGUAAAUCUCUUCUAAAGCUAAAUACCGGCCAGAGACCGAUAGCGCACAAGUAGAGUGAUCGAAAGAUGAAAAGCACCUUGAAAAGGGGGUUAAACAGUACGUGAAAUUGUUGAAAGGGAAGCGCUUGUGACCAGACUUGCGCCGGGCAGCUCAUCAGGGGUUCUCCCCUGUGCACUCUGCCCGGCUCAGGCCAGCAUCGGUUCUCGUGGGAGGAUAAGAACGGUAGGAACGUGGCCCCCCUCCGGGGGGGUGUUAUAGCCUGCCGUACGAUACUCCCGUGGGGACCGAGGUUCGCGCUCCGCAAGGAUGCUGGCGUAAUGGUCAUCAGCGACCCGUCUUGAAACACGGACCAAGGAGUCGUCCAUUAGAGCGAGCGUUUGGGUGUAAAACCCGCACGCGUAAUGAAAGUGAACGCAGGUGAGAGCUUCGGCGCAUCAUCGACCGAUCCUGAUGUCUUCGGAUGGAUUUGAGUAAGAGUUUUAACGGACGGACCCGAAAGACAGUGAACUAUGCUUGUAUAGGGUGAAGCCAGAGGAAACUCUGGUGGAGGCUCGCAGCGGUUCUGACGUGCAAAUCGAUCGUCAAAUAUGAG
rnacentral:rRNA from 1 species